UGAAAAUAAAAUUUUAACGAUUUUGAUGGAAAUUUAGUUUUAUGAUUUUGGCAAUAAACAUAAAUGUGUAGUUUUUGCAGAAAACACAUGUUUACUAUUUUAACAAAAAUACAGCUUUACGGUUAUAGCGUGAAAGUAUAUUUACAAUUUUGACAAGAAACCCUAAUUUUGUGAAUUUUGACAAGAAAACAUAAGUUUGUAUUUUGAAGAGAAAUAUGAUUUUAUAAAUUUUGCGGAAAGUAUGUUUUUGAUUUUGGGGUAAAACUCAUUUCCAGUUUUGGUAGAAAACAUUGUUUUAUGGUUUUGUCAAGAA
rnacentral:lncRNA from 1 species